rnacentral:rRNA from 1 species
GACGAACGCUGGCGGCGUGCCUAAUACAUGCAAGUUGAGCGCUGAAGGUUGGUACUUGUACCGACUGGAUGAGCAGCGAACGGGUGAGUAACGCGUGGGGAAUCUGCCUUUGAGCGGGGGACAACAUUUGGAAACGAAUGCUAAUACCGCAUAAAAACUUUAAACACAAGUUUUAAGUUUGAAAGAUGCAAUUGCAUCACUCAAAGAUGAUCCCGCGUUGUAUUAGCUAGUUGGUGAGGUAAAGGCUCACCAAGGCGAUGAUACAUAGCCGACCUGAGAGGGUGAUCGGCCACAUUGGGACUGAGACACGGCCCAAACUACUACGGGAGGCAGCAGUAGGGAAUCUUCGGCAAUAGACGAAAGUCUGACCGAGCAACGCCGCGUGAGUGAAGAAGGUUUUCGGAUCGUAAAACUCUGUUGGUAGAGAAGAACGUUGGUGAGAGUGGAAAGCUCAUCAAGUGACGGUAACUACCCAGAAAGGGACGGCUAACUACGUG